UGGGCAGUCAGGGCUCACUUGGUAGCCUGCACAGUCUGUCUGUGACAAAACCAGUCACCAUCUCCUGCACUGGAAUCAGCAGCAAUAAGGUUCUUGGAAUUGUGUCCUGGUACCAACAAUGACAAGGAAGUGCCUCCAAACUUCUGAUGUAUAGAAGCAAAUAUCUGCCUGCAGGGACCCAGGAUGGAUGCUCGGGCUACCAGUUUGGCAAGGAGGCCUUCCCAAGCAUCUCUGGGCUCCAGGCUGAGGACAACGCUGAUCUCAACUGUUGGCUUCAGACAGCCCCCUGGAG
rnacentral:lncRNA from 1 species